rnacentral:lncRNA from 10 species
UGGCAUUACCUAAAAACCAAGACUAAUGGUCCUAAGAGGAACUCCUAAGGUUUCUGGAAGGCAUGAAUACUAACUUUCCAUCUAAUGAAAUCCAGCAUUUCAAAAUAACCCAGUUAAUGCUGGAUUGAGAAAAAAUAGCUUUUAAAGAUUAUACUGGAGUAAUAUGCAUAUUCAAGUGGCUAGAAAUUUCCUAUGUGUUCAACAAGUAUCACUCUGACAGAAUGAAUCCUAGAAACUAAGAAACAUAUUAACAAUUCCUAAGAGGCAAAAAAAAAAAAAAAAAAAAACAAAAUAAAUAAAACCAAAAACACCCAUCAGCACGUCUCCGAGAAGCUCUUAAGUACUUGUUUCCCACAACCCUAUAAUGUAUUCUAAGUAACUAGGAGCUGACCAAUGUUCUGAGGCUCCCAGAGAAGUGGUAGUUGAAAUGUAUUCAAGAUUUCUAUGACAAACAGGAGUUUGAGGAAAACCUGUUCUCAACUCAGUGAAGACCCCCCCAAUCUAGUUCAGAACUCCAAGAACUCUGUUGUGCCCAAGAAGCACCAAUCCAAAACAUCCCCUUAUCCCAAUAAAGCCUCAGAAAAUGUGCAAUUGAGAUCUCAACCAGAAAACUAUGACUCUUCCACAAAGAUACAAUUCCAUGGAGAGCCCAAGAAGCCCCUCAUGAAUGGAUUCCAAAAGUAUCAUCAAGAUUCGUGAUUGAGUAGGAAGCUGCAACAGGUGCCACUGAGUAAGACCAUGAUAGAGACUGGCAGAUACCAUCAGUAUACUCUGAAGAGCCUUAAGGAACAUAAGAGUCAUGCUGAGGAGUUGCUGAAAUACUGCAAGGUAGACCUGAAUCUCUGGCUCAAUUGUCUGUCUCAAAAAAAUUAUGCUGCAUAGACAGUCAACUUCUAAUUAGCACAAGAACAUGAGCAUCACAGGAGGCCCAAACACCAGGUUUGAUAGAAAGAUCUGCCAUCCCAUCAGAAUGGAAUCUGAAAGAAGAAUUUGAAGAGGAGCAGAGGCUGCUGGGUCCAGGAACAAAUCCAUUAGAAACCAUUUGGGUCAAGUAUAAUUCCUCACAGGGAUUAGGAAAACAAGAAGGAAGAUGGAAAGAGGAUGAAAGUAGUAACUGCUCCGACUCUAGCAGUGGGAGUGAAGAUGAA